GCUGAUAGUGUGUGCGUGGCCAGUGGGACUGGAAGGCGGUGUAGACCACUGGAGGGACAGUACAGGUUCCUGUGAUGUGGGUAGCUUCCCCCUGCCAUGCCCUUCAGCAUGUGUCCUGCCUGGGAGCCCCACCACGGACUAAAACACUGGAACCAGGAGCUGAAGCCGGCAUCUCCUCUUCCGAGAUGUUUGUGUUUGCAGUUCUGUCACAGUGAUGAGCAGCUGACACACUGUGUGAGAAAUGUACAGAGAAGUGAGGAGUGAGGGCGGCCACUCUUCUCAGGCUGUGCGCUUCUCCAGGGUCUGUGUCCUAGGAAAGCACAGAGACGUAGCAGAACGUGUUGUUUACCGUCCAGAGUGAACAUCUGCAUACUGAUAUCUACAUCCACUGCCCUGGGCCUUCUAAAUAUCUCGAAAAUUACCUGUGACUCCUUGGUAGCAUCUGAUUGUAUGAUACAUGAUAAACGGCAAAAAUGUUUCAUGAUACUAUAAAUCUUUAAUAAUUGUAGCGUCUGGGCACGGGUGAGC